UCCAUGCCAGGACUGGACCAUUCCCACGCCU
rnacentral:piRNA from 2 species